AGCGUGGAGACAGGUGGUGCAUGGCUGUCGUCAGCUCGUGUCGUGAGAUGUUGGGUUAAGUCCCGCAACGAGCGCAACCCUCACCCCUUGUUGCUACCAGGUAAAGCUGGGCACUCUAGGGGAACUGCCCCGGUCAACGGGGAGGAAGGCGGGGACGACGUCAAGUCAUCAUGCCCCUUACGUCCUGGGCUACACACGUGCUACAAUGGCCGGUACAAAGGGAUGCCACACCGCGAGGUAGAGCUAAACCCAAAAAGCCGGUCUAAGUUCAGAUUGGAGUCUGCAACUCGACUCCAUGAAGGAGGAAUCGCUAGUAAUCGCGUAUCAGCACGACGCGGUGAAUACGUUCCCGGGCCUUGUACACACCGCCCGUCACACCACGAAAGCCAGCUGUACUCGAAGUCGCUGAG
rnacentral:rRNA from 1 species